GGAGAGAUGUCCGAGCCCGGUUGAAGGAGCACGACUGGAAAUCGUGUAGGGGGCCAAAAGCUUCCUCGGGGGUUCAAAUCCCCCUCUCUCCG
rnacentral:tRNA from 1 species